AUCUAGUGUAUUAUACCAACUAGCAUGGAUGCUGCAGCAACAUUACCUAGCACAUAUAUACAUACACAAAAAUAAAAUGCAGCCCUAUAUUUACACAAAAAUUAGAUCCACAAUCCUUUCCAUACUUGAGAUUUUUAUCUUCCCAGACAAAAUAAGCUUUAAAUGAGUCCCCCACCUUCACCUUCAAUGUUGGCAUCAUCUCCACAGGGUUCUGAAAAAAGUAUCUCCAUCCAUUCAUCCAGUGUGUAUUCUACUUCUUUUCCCAUUUCAGACACUUUUUUUGACUUUUUUGCACUCCUAUCUUGAAACAUUGAAUCAUAAUUACCAAAAAUAUCUUCUAAAUGAGUAAAAUCAUCAUACCUGUGGCUAGGUUCUGGUACAUCAGAGAACAAAAUAGGAUUUGCAAAUGUUUUAUUAUCCGACUGGUGUGUUUCUGUUGCAUCAAAGUUAUGUUGAGGCUGCAAAUUUACUUCCAUAAAAUCUAAAUCAGAUUGAGGUGGCUGGACAACAACUAAGAGAUUUGAAUCAGGUCAAGACUGCUUGUACAUUUCUGCCGCAUCCAGAUCAACAAACUGAAAAAGUGCGAAACACAUCUGCACUUUGUUUCCCAUUUUUCUUCCCAUGUUGUCUAUAUACGUAGCCAUUGCCCAAUUGAUUGAAGUCUUGCAUUUGAAUAUUUUCAAUUCUAUUACAUUUUCUUAUUAAACUCAUCGUUAUUUGCUCCAAUCCAACUAGCCUUUGUUCUACCCGAUCAUCAUGUUCUUUAUUCUUUUUGAUACUCAUCUUUAUUUCUUCCAAUGACUGCAUCAACUCGGCAGCAUAGAUUGGCCUCUUUUUGGUCUUUGUUUUUUUUUCUUUAGCAUGGGUUCUUGUUCUCCUGCUUUCUUAUUAGGUCCCCUAGUGUUCUUCAUUUUUUCAAAGAAAGUUCUAUUAAUUUCCUUAUAUGACUCAGCUGGUACAACUUUGGGGUAUGGUAGGGAAUUUGAAUGUGAUACAACUCCAACCUCAACAGCUAAACGAGUGAUGGUAGAAGGAAACCAGAUACUAUUUUUGCUAUGCUUCUCAAAUCGACAGUAUCUGAUAUUCUUACUUAUCAAACUACCAACAUUCGGGGCAAUUUGUUAUAGAGAACAUAAGUUAGAGCUAGUCUUUUUACAACUACCAUGGAACUAGUACUUGGUCGAAGCCUACUGCUCACAAAAGCUAGAAGUGGCCUGGAUUUGUAACACAAAUUUGUUCCAAAUAGAGUUCCUUUCGCAGCAUCAGAUUUAUAUGACCAAUUAGCUCCAAAAGGACAUAAUACACGUUCAAUCAGAUUCAAAUCUGGAGCCAGUAGAAAGUUUUGUGUUACCUGGUCAUCAAAAUCUCGAAGAUGACAGAGUCGGUUGAUCUCUUUAGCUGAAAAAUCCAUUUUUUUCCUUUAACACUAGAGAAAUUGUUGGUUCUAUCAAUAUUCUUAUAAAAUUCCAUCACCAACUCUACUUAAUAUUCACCUGGUUGUUUUACAAAUAGCUCUCAUCCAUAGUAGUUGACAAUUUCCCAUAUAAACUCAUCCCAUUCUCCAUCACAUGCAUUAAAAGACAUUCCUCUUUCAUGAACCAUAGUUUUAUCAUCAGAAGAUGACAGGUCUAAUACUUCUUUUUGGCAUUUUAAGUUAGAGACACUUAGAACAAAGAUGGAGGAAUAACAAAAGAAAAAGAUUGAGUCGGACCAGAUCUAACUAAAAUUUCCACUUGCAUAGCUUUGAAAAUUUAUCUUGAUUAAACCAUGAUUUUCCCUUCUUUUAUAGAGAAAAAAAAAAAAACUAAUUUGUGUUUUAGUGUUUAUUGAAGCUUUAUGUUGGUUUGAUGGGUGUGAGAAAAAGUGAAAUUGAAGUAAAAGGGGGUGAAUCCAGUGGAUGGGUGAGAGAAGAGUUGAUGGGUUUGAGUGAAGUACCAUUUUGCAGAGAGAUUUUGAAAAUUUCAUUGUUGCAGACAGAAAAUGUCCUACAAGUCAUUUUUAUUAUUAUUAAACACACUUUGUUUGCCCUUUUCCAUUAUUUGUUUGUUCAAUGCUUUGUUGAAACCCCUUUUUUUUUUAAUAUAACUUUUUCUGUUUUCAACUGUAAUGGCAUACUUAUUAUGCAUUAGCACCCUACAAUUUUUUUUUAUACUAAACACACACUUAUAUAAUAUAAAUAACAUUGAGUUGUUCGUUUUUAUUAUACAAAAGAAAACAAUGACAAAGACCCAUAUUUGCUAAAAAAGAAA
rnacentral:lncRNA from 1 species